UGCCGCGGUGAAUACGUUCCCGGGCCUUGUACACACCGCCCGUCACACCAUGGGAGUUUGUAACGCCCAAAGUCGGUGGCCUAACCUUUAUGGAGGGAGCCGCCUAAGGCGGGACAGAUGACUGGGGUGAAGUCGUAACAAGGUAGCCGUAGGAGAACCUGCGGCUGGAUCACCUCCUUUCUAAGGAA
rnacentral:rRNA from 1 species